rnacentral:rRNA from 1 species
UAGGGAAUCUUCCGCAAUGGACGAAAGUCUGACGGAGCAACGCCGCGUGAGCGAAGAAGGCCUUCGGGUCGUAAAGCUCUGUUGUUAGGGAAGAACAAGUACGAGAGUAACUGCUCGUACCUUGACGGUACCUAACCAGAAAGCCACGGCUAACUACGUGCCAGCAGCCGCGGUAAUACGUAGGUGGCAAGCGUUGUCCGGAAUUAUUGGGCGUAAAGCGCGCGCAGGCGGUCCUUUAAGUCUGAUGUGAAAGCCCACGGCUCAACCGUGGAGGGUCAUUGGAAACUGGGGGACUUGAGUGCAGAAGAGGAGAGUGGAAUUCCACGUGUAGCGGUGAAAUGCGUAGAGAUGUGGAGGAACACCAGUGGCGAAGGCGACUCUCUGGUCUGUAACUGACGCUGAGGCGCGAAAGCGUGGGGAGCAAACAGGAUUAGAUACCCUGGUAGUCCACGCCGUAAACGAUGAGUGCUAAGUGUUAGAGGGUUUCCGCCCUUUAGUG